UACGUAGGGUGCAAGCGUUGUCCGGAAUUAUUGGGCGUAAAGAGCUCGUAGGCGGUCUGUUGCGUCGGCUGUGAAAACCCGGGGCUCAACUCCGGGCCUGCAGCCGAUACGGGCAGACUAGAGUUCGGCAGGGGAGACUGGAAUUCCUGGUGUAGCGGUGAAAUGCGCAGAGAUCGGGAGGAACACCCGUAGCGAAGGCGGCACUCUGGGCCGGUACUGACGCUGAGGAGCGAAAGCGUGGGGAGCGAACAGG
rnacentral:rRNA from 1 species